GGUGGCUCAGUGGUAGAGUGCUUGCCUGGCAAGCAUGAGGCCCUGGGUUCGAUUCCUCAGCACCA
rfam:Dipodomys ordii contig_8578, whole genome shotgun sequence.